GCAAGCGUUAUUCGGAAUUAUUGGGCGUAAAGAGCGCGUAGGCGGCUAUAUAAGUUAGAUGUGAAAUCCCAAGGCUUAACCUUGGAAGUGCAUUUGAAACUAUACAGCUUGAGUAUGAUAGAGGGAAGUGGAAUUCCUGGUGUAGAGGUGAAAUUCGUAGAUAUCAGGAGGAACACCAGUGGCGAAGGCGACUUCCUGGAUCAAUACUGACGCUGAGGCGCGAAGGCAUGGGUAGCGAACAGGAUUAGAUACCCUGGUAGUCCAUGCCGUAAACGUUGGGCACUAGGUGUGGGGAC
rnacentral:rRNA from 1 species